UGGCAUAGUGUUAAAGCAAUCGACUGCUAAUCGAAAGGUUGGUGGUUCAAAACCAUC
rnacentral:tRNA from 1 species